rnacentral:rRNA from 1 species
UACAGAGGUCUCAAGCGUUGUUCGGAUUCAUUGGGCGUAAAGGGUGCGUAGGCGGCGCGGUAAGUCGGGUGUGAAAUCUCGGGAGCUUAACUCCGAAACUGCAUUCGAUACUGCCGUGCUUGAGGACUGGAGAGGAGACUGGAAUUUACGGUGUAGCGGUGAAAUGCGUAGAUAUCGUAAGGAAGACCAGUGGACGAAGGCGGGUCUCUGGACAGUUC